UGGGGAAUAUUGGACAAUGGGCGCAAGCCUGAUCCAGCCAUGCCGCGUGAGUGACGAAGGCCUUAGGGUUGUAAAGCUCUUUUGGCGGGGAAGAUAAUGACGGUACCCGCAGAAUAAGCUCCGGCUAACUUCGUGCCAGCAGCCGCGGUAAUACGAAGGGAGCUAGCGUUGUUCGGAAUCACUGGGCGUAAAGCGCACGUAGGCGGACUUUCAAGUCAGGGGUGAAAUCCCGGGGCUCAACCUCGGAACUGCCUUUGAUACUGUUGGUCUCGAGUCCGGAAGAGGUGAGUGGAAUUCCUAGCGUAGAGGUGAAAUUCGUAGAUAUUAGGAAGAACACCGGUGGCGAAGGCGGCUCACUGGUCCGGUACUGACGCUGAGGUGCGAAAGCGUGGGGAGCAAACA
rnacentral:rRNA from 1 species